rnacentral:rRNA from 1 species
GACGAACGCUGGCGGCGUGCCUAAUACAUGCAAGUUGAGCGCUGAAGGUUGGUACUUGUACCAACUGGAUGAGCAGCGAACGGGUGAGUAACGCGUGGGGAAUCUGCCUUUGAGCGGGGGACAACAUUUGGAAACGAAUGCUAAUACCGCAUAAAAACUUUAAACACAAGUUUUAAGUUUGAAAGAUGCAAUUGCAUCACUCAAAGAUGAUCCCGCGUUGUAUUAGCUAGUUGGUGAGGUAAAGGCUCACCAAGGCGAUGAUACAUAGCCGACCUGAGAGGGUGAUCGGCCACAUUGGGACGGAGACACGGCCCAAACUCCUACGGGAGGCAGCAGUAGGGAAUCUUCGGCAAUGGACGAAAGGCUGAACGAGCAACGCCGCGUGAGUGAAGAAGGUUUUCGGAUCGUAAAACUCUGUUGGUAGAGAAGAACGUUGGUGAGAGUGGAAAGCUCAUCAAGUGACGGUAACUACCCAGAAAGGGACGGCUAACUACGUG